GUCGGCAAGUCCUUCAGGUUCUCAGGCAGCACGAACAGAUACAACCUCACUCACAUCACAAAACCGUGGGAGGUACCUCUUCCCUGUGUCACCAUGCCAGGCUGACACAAGCAAAGUUGUCCCUGCUUACUCAGUCCAAGAGGAACCAUGCAGAUGGUGACCAGCGAGACGCACUGGGCUGUGUUUCUCAUACUCCAAUGUGUACCGGAAUCUCCAGGAGGUCUGUGUAAAAAUGCACAUUCUGACUCAGUAGGUCUUGGCUGGAACCUUAGAGCCUGAAUUUCUUGCAAGUUCCCGGGCAAUGAUCCUGCUGCUGUGGCCCAUAUUUUGUUUAGG
rnacentral:lncRNA from 1 species